rnacentral:rRNA from 1 species
UACGUAGGGCGCAAGCGUUAUCCGGAAUUAUUGGGCGUAAAGAGCUCGUAGGCGGUCUGUCGCGUCUGCUGUGAAAACUCAGGGCUUAACCCUGAGCUUGCAGUGGGUACGGGCAGACUAGAGUGCGGUAGGGGGAGACUGGAAUUCCUGGUGUAGCGGUGAAAUGCGCAGAUAUCAGGAGGAACACCGGUGGCGAAGGCGGGUCUCUGGGCCGUAACUGACGCUGGAGGAGCGAAAGCAUGGGGAGCGAACAGG